UACGGGGGGGGCAAGCGUUGUUCGGAAUUACUGGGCGUAAAGGGUUCGUAGGUGGCUUGCUAAGUCAGACGUGAAAUCCCUCAGCUUAACUGGGGAACUGCGUCUGAGACUGGCGAGCUUGAGUGCAGGAGAGGAACGCGGAAUUCCAGGUGUAGCGGUGAAAUGCGUAGAUAUCUGGAGGAACACCGGUGGCGAAGGCGGCGUUCUGGACUGCAACUGACACUGAGAAACGAAAGCCAGGGGAGCAAACGGG
rnacentral:rRNA from 1 species